GAUGAAGAACGCAGCAAAAUGCGAUAAGUAAUGUGAAUUGCAGAAUUCAGUGAAUCAUCGAAUCUCUGAACGCACAUUGCGCCCGCUGGUAUUCCGGCGGGCAUGCCUGUUCGAGCGUCAUUUCAACCCUCAAGCCCCCGGGUUUGGUGUUGGGGAUCGGCUCUGCCCUUCUGGGCGGUGCCGCCCCCGAAAUACAUUGGCGGUCUCGCUGCAGCCUCCAUUGCGUAGUAGCUAACACCUCGCAACUGGAACGCGGCGCGGCCAUGCCGUAAAACCCCAACUUCUGAAUGUUGACCUCGGAUCAGGUAGGAAUACCCGCUGAACUUAAGCAUAUCAAUAAGCGGAGGA
rnacentral:misc_RNA from 1 species